rnacentral:rRNA from 1 species
CUCUAUGGCCAUACCACCCUGAACAUGCCCGAUCCCGUCUGAUCUUGGAAGCUAAGCAGGGUCGGGCCUGGAAGACUGGGUGCUCUAGGCA